GGCCCAGCCAGCAAGGCUCAGUAACUCACCCAAGGUCUUCCAGGAAGCAGGCUCCCCCUGCAGAACCAGAGCUGUUCCCAGUCCUGCCCACUCAGGUCUACAGGAAGUGAUUCGCAUCCAGAGAACUGGUCAACGCUAGUGACGUUAGCAUAAACAAACAGCUCUGGUCACAUACUUCUGGACUUCCACUAGCGACCUUCAUCCAGACGCUUGCCAGCCCUAACCUUUCCCUCAGAUCUGGCUUCAUAUGUGGCCAAUGCCUGACCUGGCUUCCCUGGCACAGACAUUAUGAGAACGGAAGCAUCAUGCGUGCUGGGUAACGAAUUAAGAGCUUUUCCCUGCUGGAAUGCACUUCGAUGGACGAUGACCGGCUACUGCUUCACCUCUUAGAGCGCAGCUCAUGCUAGCACAGGCCUUCAGACGGCAUAACCAGAGCCAGAGAUGACACCAAAGAAAGUCAGAGUCUCCAAAGGAAGGCGGCCAGCAGGCCGAGGCACACUGCCAGGAACAUGCCCAGGCCGUGACCACGGGCCUCACCUGGCUGCUUCCUCAAGCAUCUGCCCAGUAACCUGAAGAACUGGGAUGGCCAGUCUGGCCCAAAGACCCACCCCAGUGUUCACUCUGCUUCCUUCCCUUCGAUACUUCAGUCAUGAAGAAGGAAAGAACCAAGAGUUACUCAGCUCCUACUAUGUGCUAUGUCUACAACUACGACCUCAUUUGAUCCUGACCACAAUCAUGGGACGCAGUAGGCGCCAUUAUUAUCCUCAUUUUACAGAUAAGGAGCCAGAGGCU